rnacentral:lncRNA from 1 species
GAUUACUCCUCUCUAUCAAGAUUGAUAGAUCCUAUCUUGAUGCGUACCUUGCUUCUAUAGUGGAUCCACUAUCGCCAAUAUUCACUACAAAGACUCAUUGAGACCCAUGUUUAUGUGUCAAUCAAACUCCAGCAGUCUUACUGUGAGCAGUAGUACCAUCUCAAGUUAAAAAAUCAGUCACAUAACUACAGCAUCGAGACAAUCACUAACGAUUGAAUAGAAAUCCAAGUGAUCUCUCGUAUGGUCACGCUCAAUGCUAGUUGUUCUCUAACAACUACCCGCAC